rnacentral:rRNA from 1 species
GAACGCGAAGAACCUUACCCGGGCUUGAAUUGCAGGAGAACGAUACAGAGAUGUUGAGGUCCUUCGGGACUCCUGUGAAGGUGCUGCAUGGUUGUCGUCAGCUCGUGCCGUGAGGUGUCGGCUUAAGUGCCAUAACGAGCGCAACCCCUCUCUUCAGUUGCCAUCAGGUGAUGCUGGGCACUCUGGAGACACUGCCACCGUAAGGUGUGAGGAAGGUGGGGAUGACGUCAAAUCAGCACGGCCCUUACGUCCGGGGCUACACACGUGUUACAAUGGCCGGUACAGAGGGACGGUGCAAUGCAAGUUGCAUCCAAUCUUGAAAGCCGGUCCCAGUUCGGACUGGGGUCUGCAACCCGACCCCACGAAGCUGGAUUCGCUAGUAAUCGCGCAUCAGCCAUGGCGCGGUGAAUACGUUCCCGGGUCUUGUACACACC